UACGGAGGGUGCAAGCGUUAUCCGGAUUCACUGGGUUUAAAGAGUGUGUAGGCGGUGCUCUAAGUUCGGUGUGAAAUCUCCCGGCUUAACUGGGAGGGUGCGCCGGAAACUGGAGUGCUUGAGCGCGGGAGAGGAAAGCGGAAUUCCUGGUGUAGCGGUGAAAUGCGUAGAUAUCAGGAGGAACACCUGUGGUGUAGACGGCUUUCUGGACCGUAGCUGACGCUGAGACACGAAAGCGUGGGUAGCAAACAGG
rnacentral:rRNA from 1 species